CCGAGGAUCCAUCUUCUCUCGGAGGGAGUCGUCGUCAAUAAGUGGGACUACCAGCAUGUUCUGUUGAUUAGUUAUGUGUUUUGUUGAUUGUUGUUAAUAAAUAAUGGCUUCGGCACCAUCAGGAAAGAGGAAGAGAGGAGGUCACGUGACAGGAUAUUACAGAAUUACAGAUGAACCGCUCCCAUAGGCUGGGAGAUAAUGAUGAUGUAAUGCG